rnacentral:rRNA from 1 species
GAUGAACGCUGGCGGCGUGCCUAACACAUGCAAGUCGCGCGAUUCUCUUCGGAGAAGAGCGGCGGACGGGUGAGUAACGCGUGGGUAACCUGCCCUGUACACACGGAUACCAUACCGAAAGGUAUGCUAAUCCGAGAUAAUAUACUUUUAUCGCACGAUAGAAGUAUCAAAGCUCCGGCGGUACAGGAUGCAACCGCGUCUGAGUAGCUAGUUGGUAAGGUAACGGCUUACCAAGGCGACGAUCAGUAGCCGACCUGAGAGGGUGAUCGGCCACAUUGGAACUGAGACACGGUCCAAACUGCGACGGGAGGCAGCAGUGGGGAAUAUUGCACAAUGGGCGAAAGCAUGAUGCAGCAACGCCGCGUGAGCGAUGAAGGCAUUCGGGUCGUAAAGCUCUGUCCUCAAGGAAGAUAAUGACGGUACGUGAGGAGGAAGCCCCGGCUAACUACGUGCCAGCAGCCGCGGUAAAAC